UUAAUUGAAGCCAAAGCAGAGGCGGUUCAUUGUUAAUGAGCUCAAUGAUAUUUUUAUCCAAUUAAA
rnacentral:tRNA from 1 species